rnacentral:lncRNA from 1 species
UGAGUGUAGUUCAAGAAUAGUGCAUUUUACAUAAGACACCCUUAAAUACUAAGUCUUUUCUAGCCAAAACUUCUCUUAGACAUGCACUUUUACAUAACUAUACUUUUAUCCAGUAACCAAGGAGUCACAUAUAAUUUCGAAUAGUGAAAAUUUCUAUUAUGAUGUGGAAGAUCAGACAAUGUUGUAACCAUAGAUCAUACAAAGAAAAUUAACACUCCUUCACUGAGGCUUUGAUAUCAA